rnacentral:rRNA from 1 species
AGUGAACGCUGGCGGUAGGCCUAACACAUGCAAGUCGAACGGCAGCACAGUAAGAGCUUGCUCUUACGGGUGGCGAGUGGCGGACGGGUGAGGAAUACAUCGGAAUCUACUUUUUCGUGGGGGAUAACGUAGGGAAACUUACGCUAAUACCGCAUACGACCUACGGGUGAAAGCAGGGGAUCUUCGGACCUUGCGCGAUUGAAUGAGCCGAUGUCGGAUUAGCUAGUUGGCGGGGUAACGGCCCACCAAGGCAACGAUCCGUAGCUGGUCUGAGAGGUUGCUCAGCCAAACGGGAUCUGAGACACGGUCAAGCCUCAUACGGGAGGCAGAAGUGGGAAAUAGUGGAAAAUGGGCGCAAGCUUGAUCCAGCCAUACCGCGUGGGUGAAGAAGGCCUGCGGGUGGUAAGCCCUUUUGUUGGGAAAGAAAAGCAGCAGGUUAAUACCCCGCUGUUCUGACGGUACCCAAAGAAUAAGCACCGGCUAACUUCGUG